UGUGUCCACCACCUGCAAAGUACAUGUCAAAAAGGAGAAAUAAGAAGAAUAAAAUGGGUUAAGAGAGUGAUGUGCGUGAUGAUCCUUCGUAGUGGGAGUAUGUUGAGGCCUCUCAGGGUAGUUAGUCGACGAAGAUAUCAUGUACGUAACCAACUGCAAGUCAACCGUCUAGAAAUUCUUCAAUACAUCUUUACUUAUCUCAGUAUCAUAUUUUCUUACAUGACUACAUUGAAGACAUUGUUGAUGUGGAGCCUGAUGGAAAUUGUGGU
rnacentral:lncRNA from 1 species